AUCGUAUAGACACUAAUUAGGCCAGACAUAUAAGCCUUGUCACUCUCAUUUGCCAGUGUGUUGUGUUGAGACUGCAUUAAUCUGCAUGAGUAUACGAGACUCUUGUUGUGUUUUUGCCUCGUUGUCAUGAACUGCAUUUCUGUGCCAUGGUUUAAUAAAUGUCUAAUUGGUAGACCUGACAGCUGCGGAGCAAGUUGCUGGGAAAGGGAAGUCCCGGCGUUGCUGUUAUAGCUUCCUGAAUAAACCACAUUGAACAUUAUGCCACUGCCUUGAAGUCCUGCAUUUGGGUCCGCCUCCGUACUGGAAGUUCUCAACAGAAAGCAAAUAUCCUCAUUUUCUACUACAGAUGGAGAUAUCUCCUUGUUUGUGGUAGCACCAAGCCAGAAUUUUAUGUAUGAACACAGUACUGAUUCAAUGGCUGCUGUUUCGAAGUGCUGCAACAGCACUUGUGACAAGCAUUGCCUCCUCAGAAGCCGCAGCAAGUACAUUCUGUGCUGGUCUCAUUGGAGGAUGGAGAUCAUGAUGGUCCUGAGAGACUAAAUUUCCCAGGAACUUGCAGGUUUUCACAGUUGACACAAGGGAGUUGAGCAGUGUAUGGGGAAGCCAUGGAGAAAGAUGCUUUCUGAAGUCCAUCAUCUCUUGAGAGUGUUGACAGUCUUGAGCAUGUUCAGUGUUAUGUUGCUUGGCCAGACAAAAGCUCCAGAUGCACCACAUUCUGCCUCUAUGCAGACUCAUCACCGUCUUUGAUGAGGCCAGUGUCUAAAUGUUUAAUUUCACUAACAAAAACCCUUUUAUGUAUUUUUUUUUCCCAUGAAAGUGGCAGUAUUUUCCAGUAAUAAGAUGUUUUGGAGCAAUCGGUAAAUAACGAAUUGCCCUGGGUAUGCCCUUUUUACAUUGACGAAAUUGAUAUUUCACUGUUUUGGUGUGACGUCAUCGACAAAACGUAACCAUUUCAGGACUGACCAUUUAGCUUUUCAGUCAGUGUGGGCAAAAGAAUGUGCAAUGCUAUGAAGUAGCAUUGUUUACUUAUGUUUCAUACAUUGUCACUGUCCUUCCAUUCAAAAUGACAACUUUUCUGGGGGAAAAAAAAAAAAAGUUUCCAAGCGCUGCUUUGUUCAAAUUGGUAUUAUGGUAAAUGAUAAAGCUGGGAUAGGCUCCAGCACACCCACAAGCCUAGUGAGAAUAUGCAGGAUGCAAAAUGGAUGAAAUAUUAAAUGGAGUGCACUUAUAUCACACUCUUUCUAUCUACACCAUCACAGUGCCCAAAGCACAUUAUUGUUCACAUUCAUGCUUUCACAUUCAUACAUAAUUUUGUUGGAAUUAUACCUUAUAUUACUGUUAUUUACACACACCAACUGGAACACAUCCCAAAAUUCUUAAAUCUCAAAUUCAAUAUACUAAAAUAUCACUACUCUAUUACGUUGUCAUUGAAUAAAAUGGUACGAACAGAAGCCAAACCCAAAAUCCCCAAUGCCACCAACCAUGUGAAAAGACUUCAUGAAACUGUUUAGAACCCAGAGUAAUGCAAUCAGUACAUCAAUGAACAGACUAGAUGCAUAUUAGGCACAAAUUAGUCUUUACGCUCUUACCUCCACGAUUCAUGCAGGUGCAUUUUUUUUCUCGAAGCAUUACUGUGAUCUAUUUUAACAAAAUAAACCUACUCAAGUGUUUGCAACCACACUACUUUCAUUCUUUGUCUGAAUAAACAUCCACACUUUCAAAAUAGAUGACAACAAUGGCACACAUGUUCUGCACAACAACAAACAUUCACAUUUCUCAGACAUCUUGAGCAUUUGAGCACAUUUACAAGUUUGUUCUCAAGCUAUUGACACAACUUUAAUACUGUAUAAAAAAUAAGUGUGGGAAAGACCAAUAGAACUGAUAGGAUAAGGAAAUUUGAUUUUCUUUCUGUCACUGAUGUAUAUUCAGGCUG